UUGACUAUCUUGCAGGUUAAGAGUUGAUCAUGAGAAAAUUUUGAUAAUGUGUUGAAGGGAGCAUCAGUAGAAGAUGGUAGGAGUAUUGCAGUUCUUCGAUUUCGGUCAAACCAGCUCCUCCCGUAAGUUGCUGGCACUCAAUCGACACAAUAGUGGUCUUGAACCUCCUAGAAAUAGCUUAGAGGUUCCUCCUAUGAAUACUUAUCAUAAUUUUCAACUGGUUCAUGAAGACAUUCAAUGCUCAAGUUACUAUAAAGAGGACAUUUGCCAACAAUCUCAC